CGAGGGGUAACAGAGAGAGCUUGCUCUUUGCUGACGACCGGCGCACGGGUGCGUAACGCGUAUACAAUCUGCCUAUCACUGAGGGAUAGCCCGAAGAAAUUUGGAUUAAUACCUCAUAGUAUUAUAGAAUCGCAUGGUUUUAUAAUUAAAGGUUACGGUGAUAGAUGAGUAUGCGUCCUAUUAGCUAGAUGGAGAGGUAAAGGCUCCCCAUGGCUACGAUAGGUAGGGGUCCUGAGAGGGAGAUCCCCCACACUGGUACUGAGACACGGACCAGACUCCUACGGGAGGCAGCAGUGAGGAAUAUUGGACAAUGGGCGCAAGCCUGAUCCAGCCAUGCCGCGUGUAGGAAGACGGCCCUAUGGGUUGUAAACUACUUUUAUACGGGAAGAAACCUAUCCUCGUGAGGGUAGCUGACGGUACCGUAAGAAUAAGCACCGGCUAACUCCGUGCCAGCAGCCGCGGUAAUACGGAGGGUGCAAGCGUUAUCCGGAAUCAUUGGGUUUAAAGGGUCCGUAGGCGGGCUAAUAAGUCAGUGGUGAAAUGCAGGGGCUCAACUCCGGCACUGCCAUUGAUACUGUUAGUCUUGAAUUAUUGUGAAGUGGUUAGAAUAUGUAGUGUAGCGGUGAAAUGCUUAGAUAUUACAUAGAAUACCGAUUGCGAAGGCAGAUCACUAACAAUAUAUUGACGCUGAUGGACGAAAGCGUGGGUAGCGAACAGGAUUAGAUACCCUGGUAGUCCACGCCGUAAACGAUGGUUACUAGCUGUUUGGACGAAUUGACGUCUGAGUGGCCAAGCGAAAGUGAUAAGUAACCCACCUGGGGAGUACGUUCGCAAGAAUGAAACUCAAAGGAAUUGACGGGGGCCCGCACNAGCGGUGGAGCAUGUGGUUUAAUUCGAUGAUACGCGAGGAACCUUACCAGGGCUUAAAUGUAGUAUGACAGAUUUGGAAACAGAUUUUUCUUCGGACAUAUUACAAGGUGCUGCAUGGUUGUCGUCAGCUCGUGCCGUGAGGUGUCAGGUUAAGUCCUAUAACGAGCGCAACCCCUAUUGCUAGUUGCCAGCGAGUCAAGUCGGGGACUCUAGCGAGACUGCCGGUGCAAACCGUGAGGAAGGUGGGGAUGACGUCAAAUCAUCACGGCCCUUACGUCCUGGGCCACACACGUGCUACAAUGGUAGGGACAGAGAGCAGCCACCACGCGAGUGGGAGCGAAUCUAUAAACCCUAUCACAGUUCGGAUCGUAGUCUGCAACUCGACUACGUGAAGCUGGAAUCGCUAGUAAUCGCAUAUCAGCCAUGAUGCGGUGAAUACGUUCCCGGGCCUUGUACACACCGCCCGUCAAGCCAUGGAAGCUGGGGGUACCUGAAGUCGGUGACCGCAAGGA
rnacentral:rRNA from 1 species